UACGUAGGGGGCUAGCGUUGUCCGGAAUCAUUGGGCGUAAAGAGCGUGUAGGCGGUCCGGUAAGUCAGCUGUGAAAGUCAAGGGCUCAACCCUUGAAAGCCGGUUGAUACUGUCGGGCUAGAGUCCGGAAGAGGCGAGUGGAAUUCCCGGUGUAGCGGUGAAAUGCGCAGAUAUCGGGAGGAACACCAAUGGCGAAGGCAGCUCGCUGGGACGGUACUGACGCUGAGACGCGAAAGCUAGGGGAGCGAACAGG
rnacentral:rRNA from 1 species